GUGCCAGCAGCCGCGGUAAUACAGAGGGUGCGAGCGUUAAUCGGAAUUACUGGGCGUAAAGGGCGCGUAGGCGGUUGAUUGGGUGUGAUGUGAAAGCCCUGGGCUUAACCUAGGAAGUGCAUCGCAAACUAAUGAACUGGAGUAGAUGAGAGGGUGGCGGAAUUUCCGGUGUAGCGGUGAAAUGCGUAGAGAUCGGAAGGAACGUCGAUGGCGAAGGCAGCCACCUGGCAUCAUACUGACGCUGAGGCGCGAAAGCGUGGGGAGCGAACAGGAUUAGAAACCCUCGUAGUCC
rnacentral:rRNA from 1 species